UUAAGUUCAGCGGGUAUCCCUACCUGAUCCGAGGUCAACCUUAGAAAUGGGGUUGUUUUACGGCGUAGCCUCCCGAACACCCUUUAGCGAAUAGUUUCCACAACGCUUAGGGGACAGAAGACCCAGCCGGACGAUUUGAGGCACGCGGCGGACCGCGUUGCCCAAUACCAAGCGAGGCUUGAGUGGUGAAAUGACGCUCGAACAGGCAUGCCCCCCGGAAUACCAGGGGGCGCAAUGUGCGUUCAAAGAUUCGAUGAUUCACUGAAUUCUGCAAUUCACAUUACUUAUCGCAUUUCGCUGCGUUCUUCAUCGAUGCCAGAACCAAGAGAUCCGUUGUUAAAAGUUUUAAUUUAUUAAUUAAGUUUACUCAGACUGCAAAGUUACGCAAGAGUUUGAAGUGUCCACCCGGAGCCCCCGCCCGAAGGCAGGGUCGCCCCGGAGGCAACAGAGUCGGACAACAAAGGGUUAUGAAUAACCAGGCCGAAGCCCGGGCGUUCUUGUAAUGAUCCCUCCGCAGGUUCACCUACGGAGACCUUGUUACGACUU
rnacentral:misc_RNA from 1 species